AAAAGACUUAGUCCUAACCUUACCGUUGAUUGUUGCCAAACAUAUACAUGCAAGUAUCCGCACCCCAGUGUAAAUGCCCAUAAACACCUUACCAAGACAAAAGGAGCAGGUAUCAGGCACACUAAAACCGUAGCCCAAAACACCUUGCUCAGCCACACCCCCACGGGUACUCAGCAGUAAUUAACAUUAAGCAAUAAGUGUAAACUUGACUUAGUUAUGGCAAACCCAAGGGCUGGUUAAUCUUGUGCCAGCCGCCGCGGCCAUACAAGAGACCCAAACCAACGGCAGCACGGCGUAAAGAGUGACACGACAAUAUCCAUCGGGCUAGUACCAAAACACAACUGAGCUGUCACAAGCACAAGAUGUGCAGAAGAACCCCAAAAAGAAGAUCCUAGCCAGCACGACCUAAUUAAUGCCACGAAAGCUAAGACACAAACUGGGAUUAGAUACCCCACUAUGCUUAGCCUUAAAUCUUGACACUUCCUAGACUAAAGUGUCCGCCUGAGAACUACGAGCACAAACGCUUAAAACUCUAAGGACUUGGCGGUGCCUCAAACCCACCUAGAGGAGCCUGUUCUAUAAUCGAUAAUCCACGUUACACCCAACCGCUCUUUGCUUGCUCAGCCUACAUACCGCCGUCGCCAGUCCACCUAUCUUGAAAGAACAACAGUGAACACAACAGCCCAACCGCGCUAAAAAGACAGGUCAAGGUAUAGCCCAUAGAGCGGAAGAAAUGGGCUACAUUUUCUAUUCUAGAAAACUACGAAAAGGGGUAUGAAAUUCCCCCUAGAAGGCGGAUUUAGCAGUAAAGUUGAACCACAAUGUCAUCUUAAAAUCGGCCCCGGGGCACGUACAUACCGCCCGUCACCCUCCUCACGAGCUACUAACACAAGUAAUUAACUCCAACUUCUAGCCAAAGACGAGGUAAGUCGUAACAAGGUAAGUGUACCGGAAGGUGCACUUAGCACACC
rnacentral:rRNA from 1 species